UUUGAUUCUGAAACAAGAAAACAUCUUCCGUCUUAUUACAAAAAGCGAUAUAAACCUUAGCUUAAACCUGUACUAACAAAACCAGGCUUAUCUGAGAAACCAUGGUUUAAAUUUGUCCGUAUUACAAAACUCAUAAAAACCGUAGACUUCUUAGUACUGCCAUCUGAACUAUGGCCUAUAUAUAAACCACAGACAAAUACAAACAACAUUCGUUCAAUACGAUAUCAUUCAAUCGCAACGUUCCAUAUACACAAAAAUGAAAACGUUUUCAAACAAUGUUAAUGAUUAAAUAAUGUUUAGGAGUAUUAAAAAUAUUAAGACGUGGUUAUUUUGCUCCAAGAUAAAUAAUAGUUGUAACUUCGAUUGCACUUUUUUUUAGGUUUCAAGUUUUGACUAAUGUUGUAUUAGCUGGUAAUACAUCUAAAUGCGUGUUACGAAACGUAAGCUUCCCGCGCGUUAUAUGAAACCAUAACAAUAAACAAAACUAUUGCGGUAACUUUUGCAAAUAGCUUUAGAAUUUAUUAUCAGUGUAUUAUUAUAUAGAAUAAUUGACUAUUUGUACUAUUGUGAUGGAUAACCGAAAGAAAAAAAGAUCUGAAAAUUGGAGUACUGAGGAAAAAGUAAGUAAACAAAAAAUCCGUCAUAUAGUUUUUAAUUUGUUAAAUAUAAUAGAUGGAUUUCAAGCUAAACGACAUUUAAAAUGUUAUAGGAUGUACUACGUGAAUUAAUUGCACAAUCACGCCAUAUUAUAAAGAACAAAAAUACAAAAGCUUCAUCCAACAAGAAAAAGACUGAAGAAUGGAAAAACAUAGCACAGAGGAUCAAUGUACUCAUGGGAAAGAAUAGGUCUGAUGGUGAUGUUAAAUUAGCGUGGAAAAGAAUGAAGCUUGCUGCUAAAGCUAAUUUGUCCACCCAUAGAAAUCACCAAAUGCAGACAGGGGGUGGUGAAAAGCCUAAGUCACCUUCGCAAGAAGAUCUAGCGAUUAUGGCUAUUGCUCCACAUGAUUUUAUUGUGGAAUUCAAUAACUAUGACAGUGAUGCUAACAAAACAGCUGUUAGCACAAUUGAUUUUUAUUUAUUAUUGUAAAAUACUGCUUAAAUUAAUAUAAAAAUAAUAAUUUAACAAUAUAAUGAAUAUUUUUAGGUUCAAUUACAACCCCUAGAAGUUAAGGAAGUAAUAGCUGGAUCUAGUAGUGCUUUUACUCCUUCAAACAUGCCCCUUGAAUACAAUGAUGUGGUAGAAGUGAUAAUGGACCAAAGUAAAAAUUAUAUUUAAUUAAAAUCUUCUUUAAUAUAUUAUAUAUUGUAACCUGUAAUCAUAUUACGAAUAUUUAAAGGAAAAUAAAAGUACGCAAAUAAAACAUGAAAAUGAGACUUUAUUUUAGUCUAUAUUAAUACAACUAAAAUACUUUCAGAUGCCCCAAAUGAAAAUGUGACGACUGCCGUUACUACUGACGAAAAAAAAACAACAUUCAUAAUAAAAAGGGCCCUCAAAAUAUAAAAGUAGCAACACAAGAAAAAAUAUUAGAGAGUAACACUCAAUUUAAAAAAAAACAACUGGAAAUGCUAGCAGAAGAACAUGAAUACAAAA